rnacentral:rRNA from 1 species
GACGAACGCUGGCGGCGUGCCUAAUACAUGCAAGUUGAGCGCUGAAGGUUGGUACUUGUACCAACUGGAUGAGCAGCGAACGGGUGAGUAACGCGUGGGGAAUCUGCCUUUGAGCGGGGGACAACAUUUGGAAACGAAUGCUAAUACCGCAUAAAAACUUUAAACACACGUUUUAAGUUUGAAAGAUGCAAUUGCAUCACUCAAAGAUGAUCCCGCGUUGUAUUAGCUAGUUGGUGAGGUAAAGGCUCACCAAGGCGAUGAUACAUAGCCGACCUGAGAGGGUGAUCGGCCACAUUGGGACUGAGACACGGCCCAAACUCCUACGGGAGGCAGCAGUAGGGAAUCUUCGGCAAUGGACGAAAGUCUGACCGAGCAACGCCGCGUGAGUGAAGAAGGUUUUCGGAUCGUAAAACUCUGUUGGUAGAGAAGAAAGGUGGUGAGAGUGGAAAGCUCAUCAAGUGACGGUAACUACACAGAAAGGGACGGCUAACUACGUG